rnacentral:rRNA from 1 species
ACCUCGAGUGCCAGGUUACAAAUCUGGCUGUCGAGAUGCCUAAAAAGCAUUUCAUAGCAAGGGCCGGGCAAGACCGGUGCCAGCCGCCGCGGUAACACCGGCGGCUCGAGUGGUAACCGUUAUUAUUGGGUCUAAAGGGUCUGUAGCCGGCCGGAUAAGUCUCUUGAGAAAUCUGGCAGCUUAACUGUCAGGCUUUCAGGAGAUACUGUCUGGCUCGAGGCCGGGAGAGGUGAGAGGUACUUCAGGGGUAGGGGUGAAAUCUUGUAAUCCUUGAAGGACCACCAGUGGCGAAGGCGUCUCACCAGAACGGACCUGACGGCAAGGGACGAAAGCUAGGGGCACGAACCGGAUUAGAUACCCGGGUAGUCCUAGCCGUAAACGAUACUCGCUAGGUGUCGGCCACGGUGCGACCGUUGUCGGUUGCCGUAGGGAAGCCGUGAAGCGAGC